rnacentral:tRNA from 1 species
GUGUGGGAUGGUAGAGUAUAUGCAACCUUGCCAAGGUUGGGGUCGAGGGUUCGAAUCCCUUCGCCCGCUCCA